UGGCAACUCUUCUAAGGCAUCGCUGCGAGCUGAACGGGCUUCGCGAGAGAAAUGAUUGUGUGGAGGGAGUAGGAGCAGGGUGGAGAGAGAGACCGGAAGUGGCGGAGCCACAGGAGGCAGCACUGACAUGGCGCUUGAUGCUGACGUAUGGCGACCGUUGACUGGAACUGGCCCAGGAAGACACAUCAAGGUUGAUGGAGAUGCUUGGUGGAGCCUGCUGCUACUGCUGCCUCUCCCACAAGUCACCGCGCGCCGUUGUGAGAUGCCGCUGUUACUUCACACACCCACCGCUCUUACUUCACACACCCACCGCAGGCCAGGGCCCAAGUUCCCUGCGGCUGUCAGGAGGUAGACUUGAUCCAAAUCUCAUCUGACAAGAACGGACUGACUGACCCAUGUUUCAACCGUUGUUUACAUGCAGCCCUUCUCAACUUCAGUCUUCAAAGGUCUCGGCAGGUGAGUCAUUAAGCACUUCUUAGCGGAUUCCGACUUCUAUUGCCACCAUCCUGUUGUCCAUAUUAAACACCUUUUAGGGUCUCUGAUGAACUUCAAUGCUAGCACCGAGUUUCGUGCGCACUCAACGACUCGCGUGCAUCUUAGACUCUUUCGUCCGUGUUUGAAGACAUGUCGGGUGGAUGACGGACUAAUCUGUCGCUGAUUCCGUGCAAUGGCGGGCUUCACGAAACUCAGUCCAUCUCGGAAAGCGGUCGGCGGACACGGUUGCCCAGUCUCCACCAAUGGAACGUCCCCAAAAGAGCGAAUCGGUCUACGAAUCCUCGGCGGCUCCUGGUUUAUACAGACAUGACAUGCACGGUGCACCCACAAAGACAGCAUGUGCCACCUUGAUGGCUUCUUCCAGCCGAGCGAUCCAUGAUGGAAAUGACCAAGCUUGAGUG